rnacentral:lncRNA from 1 species
AUUUUAUUCUUGUGUUAGUAGCUAAUUAAACAACCAAACAAUAAAAGAAAUAAAAACUACAAAAUUAUUACACAUUGGGGAAGUGGGGUACAUUUGUCAAAUGGGGAUUAAAACAAUCAUGAAAUAAAUAAAAUCGGGCCAAACAAAUAAUGCAUGAGUGUAAGUGCAAGAGAACCGGCUCAUUGUAAGAAAGCCCAAGAGUAAGCUAUGUGAGGUUGGUGGCGAUGCUUAAAAAGCAAUCGACUUACAAGGGUGUGAAAAAGGGCUCGAUAUUAAAUCGAGAAAAGUAUGAUUUUUAUAGUUUUAAAAAUGGUUUUGCAUGUAUGAUGAAAUUAAUAAAGAAGCAUGGACAUAAAAAAGUAUUAAAAGAAACAAAGUGCUAAAAGAUAGUGGAAUACUAAAAAAUAAAAUGCUAAAAAAGAAAUGAAAUACUAAAAAAGAAAUACUAAAAAUGCUAUCUACGAGUAUCGAACUCACUCCACCUAAGACUUAAAUACCACUCCUCUCCACCAGGCCACUUAACAACUAAUUGAUAUUUUAAUGCUAACUUAAAUAUAUAAACUAAAAUAAAUAAAAAAAAUAAAUAAAACUAAAAAAACUAAUAAAUAGGAAACUAUUUGACUACCCUAAUUAAACCUAAUUAAACAAAAUAAAAGAAAACCUAAUUAAUUAGUAUUUUACUCUAAACCUAAAUCUAAUUUAAAUUUUUUAAAUAUAUCCUACAAAAUCUAAACU